rnacentral:tRNA from 1 species
UCGGCGCCUUGGAGGAUCGCGGCCAGCUCCGACGGCCUGUCCUGCCACAACCGGGCAAGUACCGCAUAGGGUUCGGGAUCCUCGGGCGCCGAG